rnacentral:piRNA from 1 species
UGCUAGUCAGCACUGGUUUUUAGGCACGCA